ensembl:lncRNA
GGUGUUAAAAAUAUUCUUUUCUUUUUUUUUUUGUUUGUUUUGUUUCAUUUCUAGUGAUCUGAUUAAUCAGGGGGAACUCAGAAGUUUUCACCACCUGGAGCUUUCCCAUGGACAGAGGAGCCUAGCAAGCUACAGCCCAUGGGGUUGAAGAGUCACGACUGAGUGACUACACAACAGCUUUCAUGAAGGCUUCAUGUGUGGCUCUCCCAGGAGCUCUGACAGCCUACAGGAAAAGGUAGGGAUGCUUGUAAGUAUCUAGGGUUGUGGUGAGAGGUAGCGGAAGGAUGGCUGGAAACAGCCACAUUCUACCUCGCACCCAGCCUCCCCGCCAUCCUCUCCACACCCAGCCUUUCCCCCCAAGUUAGAAGCAGAUAGCUGGAGUUAUCCAACUAUCUUUCUAGCCACAUCCUCAGGAAAGGGAUAAAGGAAAACAGAGUGUCACCAAGGGCCCACCCCAGGGCAGGAUCCUGAGAAUGGCUUGAGGGACUGCCUAAUCCCAUGUAUCAUCCUUCAGUAAAGUGCUACACUUUGGGGUUAUUUUGCCUCUCUUCUAAAGUCAGGGAACAAAUAAUCAGAUGACUCAAAAAAAAAGAGUUUCCUUUUUUGGUUUUAUUUGGGGCUUUUUUUGUUUUGUUUUUAGACCAACUUACUAAAUGGGUGGGGGACUAAAACAAACGGAAAAUAAGCCACAGAUGAACCGCCCACCCUGGGCUGGGCAACAUCCGUAAGAGAAAACUGUGGCCUGGGACUUUGAAGGGUGGCUGCUGAGCACACGUGUCCCUUCUCCCUAGCCACCCACCCCCAUCUCGGAGGCCAACCCUUCUGCGUGGUGGCUAGCAGUGACAAAACCAAGAUGAAUCACCAUAUGUCAGGAUCCAUAAAUUGUGAAAAGUCUAAGCAGCAGGUCUGGGAUGAGAGAUCAAGGCCAAAGGGGAUCGUGCAACAGAAGAAAAGCCGUCCAGAGAUACGAGGGGCCAGCCCACGGCUCCAGCUAUCGAAGUAUGCUCCCCCCCCAGCCCCCACCAAGUCUAAAACAAACACAGGAACGCAUUCCAUACAUUUCCAAAGACUAGAGAGCGCACACAGAAAUCCUGGCCUUUGUGCCUUCUCCCUUAAACCCCACGAGUUUGGGGCCUCAAGUUUGAAGCCGGCUUCCUGCCUCCCUGGGGUUUUUUGAAAGAUUCAAAAGUGCCUCAGACCAAGACAGCUGCUUGGUUGAUGGCUCACAUUGAAACCACAAAUUAUAAAAUGAUAAAUCGCUGCUCAAAGCUCUUCCAGGAAAGACUAUGUUGUCAAGAUUAAGUUACAACCUCAUGGACCUAUGAGUGAGUCGAGCUGCUGACUAACUCUCACACUUCUUUUCCUGCCCAAGAUGUUUUUGCUUCGUGAACUUUCACUGUUUCUGAAUACUUGAAACAAAUGACUGAAGGCAGAAAAAACAUCAGGGGACUUCUUAACCCAUGGAGCUUUUUACAGGCUUUAUUAUGUAACGGCUGCUUUCGUUUUGUGAGACCCAAAGGAAGUUGAAGAAAUCUCUUUCUUCUUGAGCACUUAACUGCCAGCGAUCUGUGAGAAAUGGCUUCGUGUGGGCAGCUCCACUCACUUGAAACUCUAGUUGGAACGUGUAGUGUGUGCUAAAUCAAAGCUGGUUUUAAGGAAUUUGGGUC